AUUGAACGCUGGCGGCAUGCCUUACACAUGCAAGUCGAACGGUAACAGGUCUUCGGAUGCUGACGAGUGGCGAACGGGUGAGUAAUACAUCGGAACGUGCCUAGUAGUGGGGGAUAACUACUCGAAAGAGUGGCUAAUACCGCAUGAGAUCUAAGGAUGAAAGCAGGGGAUCGCAAGACCUUGUGCUACUAGAGCGGCCGAUGGCAGAUUAGGUAGUUGGUGGGAUAAAAGCUUACCAAGCCGACGAUCUGUAGCUGGUCUGAGAGGACGAUCAGCCAAGCUGGGAGUGAGACACGGCCCAGACUCCUACGGGAGGCAGAAGUGGGGAAUUUUGGACAAUGGGCGCAAGCCUGAUCCAGCAAUGCCGCGUGCAGGAUGAAGGCCUUCGGGUUGUAAACUGCUUUUGUACGGAACGAAAAGCCCUGGGUUAAUACCCUGGGGUCAUGACGGUACCGUAAGAAUAAGCACCGGCUAACUACGUGCCAGCAGCCGCCGUAA
rnacentral:rRNA from 1 species